rnacentral:misc_RNA from 1 species
AUUAUUAUCAUUAUUAUUAUUAUUCAUUUAAACCUUGAGGAGGACAAACAGGAAGGGAGGAGGAGGGGGAUGGAGACGGCGAAAAGAGUUUUUUUAGCUUUUUUAAUAUUAACUAUCGAAUAAAUUAUGUAUGACAUGGGUUGUCUUUUUGUUUUUUUAAAACACAAAAACUAUUUAAAAUUAUAUUUCUUUAAUUUUUUAUUUGGACCAUCUCUUUGUUAUAUCAGUUUUCUUUUGUAAUAAUUUAUUAUGAUUAUCCAUUCUUAUACAACUACAAAUUUUUAAAAGACUAAACUUUUGCAAUAAAUUAUUUCUGACUUUCUUUAAUUUUUAAAUUAUUAGAUACAGAAGAUCAUAAUGAUAUUUAAUUACAUUCUUUAUGUGAAGUUGAUUUGUAAAGCAAUUCACUAUGGACAGUGGCCAAUUCAGUCUAAUUCUGUUCCGAUUCUACCAUUUAAAACCCAAAAUUGCAAUCCUGUUUAACAAAAGACAAGGAACACUUCUUGGGCUUUUAUAUAAAUGGGGGCUAUCCAAGAUCAAAAUUUUCAAUAAUGAGCUGUGGAUUUGCUCUGCCAUCAGCAGUUUGUGUAACACAUGCCAGCUGCACCUUUGAUGGGUUCCACAACACGACAACUUGAUUUAACUGGAAACUUUGCUCUAUGGUUUAUAUGUUAUGUUCUAAAAAAUGUAUGAUCAACUACUUGAUUUUGCAUUUUUAAUGUGAUUUUGUUAUUAAAAUGAACAGUACUAUUAGUAUUCUAAUAAUUUCUUAAAAUCCUUGGAUUUAAUUAUUAUAACGGUACCUUGCGUUGCACAAGAUGCUCAUUGAUGUAUGUACUGACUUGCUUGCAGGGAACUGGAGAUCUUAUGACUGCACUUCUGCUUGGAUGG